ACCUGCCCCCAUCAGGGGAAUAGCCCGCCGAAAGGCGGAUUAAUGCCCCAUAGGCCCAGGGCGCUGCAUGGCGCUAUGGGUAAAGCUCCGGCGGAUGGGGAUGGGCAUGCGUGCCAUUAGCUAGUUGGGGCGGUAACGGCGCACCAAGGCGACGAUGGCUAGGGGGUCUGAGAGGAUGGUCCCCCACACUGGUACUGAGACACGGACCAGACUCCUACGGGAGGCAGCAGUGAGGAAUAUUGGUCAAUGGGCGGAAGCCUGAACCAGCCAUGCCGCGUGCAGGAUGACGGCCCUACGGGUUGUAAACUGCUUUUCCCCGGGAAGAAUAAGCCCCUCGUGAGGGGUGAUGCCGGUACCGGGGGAAUAAGGAUCGGCUAACUCCGUGCCAGCAGCCGCGGUAAUACGGAGGAUCCGAGCGUUAUCCGGAUUUACUGGGUUUAAAGGGUGCGUAGGCGGGCGCCUAAGUCAGCGGUGAAAUGCAGCGGCUCAACCGUUGAACUGCCGUUGAAACUGGGCGCCUUGGAUGCGGUCGAGGCCGGCGGAAUGCGUGGUGUAGCGGUGAAAUGCUUAGAUAUCACGCAGAACGCCAAUUGCGAAGGCAGCUGGCCGGGCCGCAAUCGACGCUGAGGCACGAAAGCGUGGGGAUCAAACAGGAUUAGAUACCCUGGUAGUCCACGCCGUAAACGAU
rnacentral:rRNA from 1 species